GACGAACGCUGGCGGCGUGCCUAACACAUGCAAGUCGAGCGGAGACAGUGAGUAGCUUGCUAUGAGCUGUUUUAGCGGCGGACGGGUGAGUAACGCGUGAGCAACCUUUCCCAGACAGGGGAAUAACACACCGAAAGGUGUACUAAUACCGCAUAAGACCACGGGAUCACAUGGUUCUGAGGUAAAAGAAUUAUCGGUUUGGGGUGGGCUCGCGUCCGAUUAGGUAGUUGGUGAGGUAACGGCCCACCAAGCCGACGAUCGGUAGCCGACCUGAGAGGGUGAUCGGCCACAUUGGGACUGAGACACGGCCCAAACUCCUACGGGAGGCAGCAGUGGGGAAUAUUGGGCAAUGGGGGGAACCCUGACCCAGCAACGCCGCGUGGAGGAAGAAGGUUUUCGGAUCGUAAACUCCUG
rnacentral:rRNA from 1 species